GGGUCAGUAGGUUGGUCGUGCCACCGGUACGUACUGGUCUCACUGAUUCCUCCUUCCUGAAGAACCGUAAUGCCAUUAAUUUGGUGUAGCGGGGAAACAGGACUGUUACUUUGAAAAAAUUAGAGCGUUUAAAGCAAGCUAACGCUUGAAUACAUUAGCAUGGAAUAAUGAAAUAGGACGAUCGAUCCUAUUUUGUUGGUUUCUAGGAUUGACGUA
rnacentral:rRNA from 1 species